rnacentral:rRNA from 1 species
UACGUAGGGUGCAAGCGUUGUCCGGAAUUAUUGGGCGUAAAGAGCUCGUAGGCGGCUUGUCGCGUCGUUCGUGAAAACCUGUGGCUCAACUACAGGCUUGCGGUCGAUACGGGCAGGCUGGAGUUCGGUAGGGGAGACUGGAAUUCCUGGUGUAGCGGUGAAAUGCGCAGAUAUCAGGAGGAACACCGGUGGCGAAGGCGGGUCUCUGGGCCGAUACUGACGCUGAGGAGCGAAAGCGUGGGGAGCGAACAGG